UCUCUUGUUUGGCGAGCUUGGAGCAGUUUCCUUUCCCUGGUUGUGAGCUAGUUCUACAGGCAGGCGAUUUCCUAGGCUCACUCAACUGGAAAACACAGUAAAGAAGGAGCUUCAAUGCAUGGCUGAAGCAGGCAGAUCUGGGAACCGACAUGAAACCAUUGCACUGGAGCACCUCUGCACAUUAACUGGAAUUCUCCCUUUGCGACGAGCCUUUGACCUAACCUCCAUUUCUUCUAACCCUGCCUGACAUCUUGCUCAUCAUAUGUCGACAGUGUGUGUCCUCAGUGAAAAGCAAAUGAACAUUGGCACUAAUGAGACCCAUAGAAAAGUGACUUGGAGGAAGAAAGAAAAAGAAACCCAAACCAUGCUGGCUGUUCCCAGUGAUCUGUUGCUCCAGCAACUGAAAGUUAAACAAUGGUGUAUAGAAG